AUUGCUUUGCUUAUUGCAUGCUAAUUGCUGAAAAUUGCUUUUUAUUUUAAAUUCCUUAGCUAAAAAUUGCUUUUUCUUUCAUAUUUCUCUGCUUAUUGAAUGACUAUUGCUAACUCAUUAGAUAGAACCUAAUUCUCAUAUAAGUAGGUGGAUGCGGCCUCGAUUAGCGGGGGAACCACAUGUAAAAAAGCGAGCUACUGGGUGUACCUCCUGGGUAGUUUGGAAAUCACCUAAUAUAUAUAUGUAUAUAUUUAUAAAUAAAAGUUAAUAUAUAUAAAUUAACAUUAAUUUUUUUUUAACAGGAAAUGCACAAUGCUAAAAACUGCGUAGGAGAUUUUAAUACAAUAGUACUACCAAGCCUGAUGUUGGCCGCUAUUUCAAUGAAUGCAGCAGUGUGACAGCUAGCAAUCAAAAGUAACAAGAUAUCGAGGAAAUGCAGAUGGCAAUAAACUGUGUAGGAGUUCAUGAUUGCAAUAGAAUAAAAUCGACCAAGCCUGAAGUCAGCAGCCCCUUCAAUGAAUGCAGCAGUGUGACAGCCAGCAAUCAAAAGUUACAAGAUAUCGAGGAAAUGCAGAAGGCAAAAAACUGCGUAGGAGAUCAUUAAUACAAAAGUAUUAUAUAAACCAAACCUGAUGUUGCCAGCUCCUUCAAUGAAUGCAGCAGUGUGACAGCCAGCAAUCAAAAGUAACAAGAUGUCGAGGAAAUGCAGAAGGCAAAAAACUGCGUAGGAGAUCAUUAAUACAAUAGUAUUAUAUAAACCAAGCCUGAUGUUGGCCGCUCAUUCAAAGAAUGCAGCAGUGUGACAGCCAGCAAUCAAAAGUAACAAGAUGUCGAGGAAAUGCAGAGUGCAAUAAACUGUGUAGGAGAUUAUGAUUGCAAUAGAAUAAAAUCGACCAAGCCUGAAGUCCUUCAAUGCACGCAGCAGUGUGACAGCCAGCAAUUAAAAGUUACAAGAUAUCGAGGAAAUGCAGAAGGCAAAAAACUGCGUAGGAGAUUAUUAAUACAAUAGUAUUAUAUCAACCAAGCCUGAUGUCGGUAGCUUCUUCAAUGAAUGCAGCAGUGUGACAGCCAGCAAUCAAUAGUAACAAGAAUCUAGGAAACACAGAAGGCAAAGAAGCAGAUGUCAUCAAAAAAGAUCUUUGUUCCUGCAAUGUUUCCGCAGACGAUACAUCCAACAGAGCGAAGUGGAAGGAAAAGACUCGGAAAAAAGACCCCACCACCAUAUGGGAACAAUGCAAGGGAGAGAGAGAGAAUAUAAUGUUAUAUUUUUAUUUUUUGAUAACAUAAAAUAAACCAACAAUAUCCUA
rnacentral:lncRNA from 1 species